AAAGAAACCAACAGGGAUUGCCCUAGUAACGGCGAGUGAAGCGGCAACAGCUCAAAUUUGAAAUCUGGCUCUCGGGCCCGAGUUGUAAUUUGUAGAGGAUACUUUUGAUGCGGUGCCUUCCGAGUUCCCUGGAACGGGACGCCAUAGAGGGUGAGAGCCCCGUCUGGUUGGAUGCCAAAUCUCUGUAAAGUUCCUUCGACGAGUCGAGUAGUUUGGGAAUGCUGCUCUAAAUGGGAGGUAUAUGUCUUCUAAAGCUAAAUACCGGCCAGAGACCGAUAGCGCACAAGUAGAGUGAUCGAAAGAUGAAAAGCACUUUGAAAAGAGAGUUAAAAAGUACGUGAAAUUGUUGAAAGGGAAGCGUUUAUGACCAGACUUGGGCUUGGUUAAUCAUCUGGGGUUCUCCCCAGUGCACUUUUCCAGUCCAGGCCAGCAUCAGUUUUCCCCGGGGGAUAAAGACUUCGGGAAUGUGGCUCUCUUCGGGGAGUGUUAUAGCCCGUUGUGUAAUACCCUGGGGGGGACUGAGGUUCGCGCAUCUGCAAGGA
rnacentral:rRNA from 1 species